CGGCUCCUUCCCCUGCCCGCCGUGCUCCCCUCACUGCGGGGCUGGGGCUGUGCACGGGCUCCGGCCCGCUCCAGCCCCGCUCCCGGCCCGCUCCAGCCCCGCUCCCGGCCCUCUCCAAGCCCGUUCCGGCCCGCUCUCAGCCCGUUCCAGCCCCUUCCCAGCCCCGCUCCCGACCCUGCUCCCAGCCCGUUCUGGCCCGCUCCCAGCCCCGCUCUCAGCCCCGUUCCAGCCCGCUUCCAGCCCUGCUUCCAGCCCCGCUCUCAGCCCGCACCCAGUCGUUCCAGCCCGCACCCAGCCCCGCUCCCCAGCCCCGCUCCCAGCCCGUUCCAGCCCGCACCCAGCCCCGCUCCGGCCGGCGCGGGCAGCUCCGCUCGCUGCCAUUGGGGAACGGCCCCGAGCUGCCAGCGCUGCUCCGCGCCCCCCGGCUUCACUCGGCUUCGCUGGAAGGCUGAGGAAUGUCUCUCACUAACUACAUCCAGAUGUGCCUGCUUGGCAGCCCGCUGCACAGACAUUACCGAGGGGACACUGGAUCAGCGCUAUCAAAUGGGAUUUGAGGAACUGAUCAAAUAAGACAGAAGAUCUCCAGGAAAAGUAUGGACAGUGGUGCCAGGCAGCUGAAACACAGCUUUUAACAGUC
ensembl:lncRNA